AACUUCGCUUAAAUUCUUCAAGAUUUAAAAUUUUCGUGGAGUGAAUUUUUAAUUGUGGUUGACAACGGGCUAAUCGUUCUCUGUCCUUAAUUUAAUAGUGCUGCCAUACAGUUUUUGAGACCAGGCUGCCAUACCGCAACCACUUGCAGCACUAUAUUCGAUGUAUUCGAUAUAAUUCGAUAAUAUGUUGAUAUUUGGUUUUAUAAUUUUUUGCUGAUAACUCGCUUGUUUUCAUAUUUGUGGGUGGAACUUUGCCUCAUUUGGCAUACUUGAAGUUCCUUGGCACCAGUCAGCUGAACGUUUCAUGGCUAACCGUGAUGUAUUCUCAAAAAUCCUGCCAAAUGUCAAGUUGGCCACUCGAUACGAUGAAGACGGACGCGAAGUUCAGGUGGAGAGUCGCGAGGACUCGGAUGCGACAGCAAAGCAGCAGGACACUUUCGACAUUCUAAUGGACGCCGGCUACUAUCGGGCCCGCAUCAAAGGCCUGUCCGCCUUCGACAAGGUUGUGGGCGGCAUGACUUGGUGCAUCGAAUGCGCCGACUAUGACGAGGACGUGGAUCUGCUUUUCCACGAAAGUCUAUCGAUUGGCCAAAAAAUAGCUCUCGUGGAAAAGAUUGUUUCGGUUCUGAUCGAUAUGAAGUGUCCACAUAGCUUGGAGCCGCAUCCGGUGCAGGGUCUGGAGUUUUUAGCCAUUCAUCCCGUCAUCCAGUGGCUAGUGAAGACUUCGGUGGAAAAUCGAGCUGUGCGUGGACAGCGCUUGAAGAAAUUUGCCAUUGGAGUGUUCCACAAUCAUUAUCAGUAUAAAAGCGACAAAGACAAUUUGACCAAAAUACGUUGUUUGCUCCAGUUAGACAGUCUUCAACAUAGAAAUCGGUUUUUAAUGUUGUUGAUCCUACUGGUAGUCUGUCUUUGUAUUGUAUUGCCAAAUGAUCCAGACAUUUCGUUGCUAGGAACGGAGCAGCUGUUGUCCCAUAUGUUACUGUUUUCAGGCGAUAGUACCUGAUCUCUUCGGAUGGAUUGUUUCUCCAGACUAUCAUCUGAUGGAAUUGAUCCUCCGGAUUCAUCCACACUUGCCGGUACAUCUUUUCUAUGUCCGCUGUGAAUACGUACUUAUGAAUUCGAAAUCGUAGCAGAAUGGACAUAAGUUCGCUCUGAACGGUGGGUCCAGCCUGCAGAAUGUCGUUCAAAGAUUACCCGCUUGUUGAUUUGCAUGAGGCAUCGAAUACUACCCGAAGCUUUGUGGUGGUGCUCUCAGGUUUGAGUACACAAUGAUGUGGAAUGAAGUAGUGCCUUUUGGGAACUUUUGAUGCUGGCACAAUAUUCAUAUGUCCUAGUCCUUCAUACUCUUCCAUGAAGUCCAGCUCUUCCAAGUUUCCAACGACUCCCACAGGGCUGAAGGGUGUUCGGAAAAUGGGAGCUUUAGAAUAAAACGGCCGUCUGAAGCUGUCUGAAGAUUUUCUAUAAAAUGAGCUUCGCACCGUGCUUCCACUGGAGUGCGUGGUUUGUCUUCCGUCUCUAGAUUGUCCAGAGUCCAGAAUCUUUCCAUGAGCUCGUUUACUCCCGUUGCACAAAUGGGUGAGGAAUUGUGGGCAGAUUUGACUUUUCCUGCCACAAUCCAUCCCAGUUUCGUGUUUUGUUGCAACGGGCCUCCUGUCCUUAGCUGCUGUUGAUCUGGUAGCAGCAGCGAGUAGUAAUGGUCGGCUCCGAUUAGCAUGUCGAUUUUGCCUGGCUUAUGGAAGUUUGGAUCUGCCAGUGAGAUCUUGCUUGGUACGUUUAAGCUCUCUGAAUCGAGUGCCUGAGCUGGUUGAUCAGCUAUAAUCUGUGGUAAUACGAAAGCUUCAAUUCUUUGCGUAAAACCAUUGUGAAGGUAUUUCAUGAGCACAUUUACUCGUGCUCUGCUGGUCUUUGAUUGACCUCCAAUUCCUUCGAUCCGUAAUGUUGUGUCUUUUAGUUUAAGUGACAACAUUGAUGCUAUUCGUUCAGAGAUCAAGUUUAUCUGUGAUCUUGAAUCUAGCAGUGCUCUGAAAUUAGCAACCUGCCAGUUGUUGGCUUCUACUGCCACCUUUGUUGUGGCCAGAAGAUUGUAACUAUUGUUACUUGCUGCACCAACCGUCGGGCCUCUUGAUUAUGUAGCUGCGCCUGAUGCUGUUUCCAAAUGUAGCAUCGUGUUGUGCUUCUUGUCACACUUGAAGCUGUUUCGACCAGGGCAUGCGUUUGUUUUGUGAUUUGUUCUAAAACAAUUAACGCACAUUUUUUGUUUUUGUACCCAAUUUAGUCGUUCUGAUGGAGAUUUGGAGCGAAAUUCUUCGCAUCCGUAGAGCCAAUGGCUUGCUUUCUUGCAGAAUGUGCAUAAGGGUGCUCGGGCUCUCCCUGUGUUUGCGGAUGCAUAUGUCGUGCAUUUUGGCUCUCUCCUUGAUGCUGGUGGCUUCUUACUGGUUCCUAGAACCCGAAUUCUUUGCUCCAAGAACUGAAGCAUCGUAUCCAGCGCCUGAAUGUCCUUUGAGCUUCCCAAUGAUUGCUCAUACAAGGCCUCAUUUGUUACAUCCAGUUUGUUUCUGAUAAUGGCAAUCAAUAUCGUAUCCCAUGUAGAUAUAUUGAUGCCCAAUCCCUUUAGUGAUGCAAGCGAUUCUAUGGUUGUUAUAUACAACUCUUUUAAUGACUUGGGAUCGUCAUUAAUUGUUUGGUGAUUGAGGAAGCGGUUCAGUACCGUGUUCGAAACAUCUCUGGGAUUGUUGUAUGCGUCAACUAGUAUUUCCCAAGCGGCCUCAUUAUUUUCUUCCUUUAGAUCGUUGCCUCGCCGGUAACGGUGGUUUUAAGAUACCACAUCUUUUUCACCGUAGGCAUGUUGGUCUCAUGCACCAUGCAUGAGAACAGAUCGAAGAACUGGGUCCAUUUUAAUAGAUCCCCAUCAAACUUUGGGAUGCUGAUGCGUGGAAGCUGCACGUUAUCCGUGUUUGGUGUGGCUGAUAUUGCCAAUGCUCUUUGGACCUUACUUUCCAGUGUUAGGUAGGAUUCCAUGUCAUAUCCUCCUUCCACUGGGUCCUCGUAUUCCUCAUGAAUUGUGAAGUGGACUUACUGCGCUUGAGUCCAUAGUGAUUUUAUCAAAUCACUUGAUGUGCGUCCUUCCGCCUCUGAAGGUUGUUUCACAUUGCGUUUAACCAAAGACUAUACAAUACGAAGAUGUCGCAUGAGGAACAAAUGCUUUUUCAAUUUUCGUUUGACGCUUCAUCGU